GCAAAUCGCGGUACCUGUGGAUGAGAGACAUAGACGAGAGAGUGAGAUGGCCUGGUUUGCCCUCUACCUCCUGAGCCUUCUCUGGGCUACAGCUGGGACUAGUACCCAGACCCGGAGUUCAUGCUCCGUUCCCUCAGCACAGGAGCCCUUGGUCAAUGGAAUACAAGUACUCAUGGAGAACUCGGUGACUUCAUCAGCCUACCCAAACCCCAGCAUCCUGAUUGCCAUGAAUCUGGCCGGAGCCUACAACUUGAAGGCCCAGAAGCUCCUGACUUACCAGCUCAUGUCCAGCGACACCAACGAUCUAACCAUUGGGCAGCUCGGCCUCACCAUCAUGGCCCUCACCUCCUCCUGCCGAGACCCUGGGGAUAAAGUAUCCAUUCUACAAAGACAAAUGGAGAACUGGGCACCUUCCAGUAAGACCUGACUGGAAGGGAGAAAAGAGUCAGGCACAUGGUUUUUCCUAAGAAUUUUAAACCCAGAAAGGAAAAGGGUGGGGGUGGAGAGAAAGGAAAGUUAGGGAAGAGACAAUGUAUCCUUCACUCUGGUCCUUCUGAUAAUCCAGACCAGAAAGAUUCAUUUCCAAUCCAAAAUGAACUAGAAAAGGUCAUGAUCCCAAGGACACAAGCUUGUCCAGCCAUCACCUGUCUAAAGACACAGAGUCAUCCCUUUUAUUCUUUGCAGAUGCCUGAUGACAUUCUUUUGAAAAACACUGAAGUUGCUCUUUGCCUAUGCUGUGUCUCUCUUUGGGGGCAGGUUUUCUAGCAAUUUCCUUUUCAAAGGCUUGGCUUUUCCUUCUUUGCAAAUGUCCUCAUCGUGGUGACUGUGAGUCUGAUGAAGGUUCUCUAUCCCCUUCGGAGGCCCCAACGCUGAAGCAUCAGCCUUCUAUGGGCCCAGUCUAGCGAUCUUGGCACUGUGCCAGAAGAACUCUGAGGCGACCUUGCCGAUAGCCGUCCGCUUUGCCAAGACCCUGCUGG
rnacentral:sRNA from 1 species